UACGAAGGGGGCUAGCGUUGCUCGGAAUCACUGGGCGUAAAGCGCACGUAGGCGGAUUGUUAAGUCAGGGGUGAAAUCCUGGAGCUCAACUCCAGAACUGCCUUUGAUACUGGCGAUCUCGAGUCCGGGAGAGGUGAGUGGAACUGCGAGUGUAGAGGUGAAAUUCGUAGAUAUUCGCAAGACACCAGUGGCGAAGGCGGCUCACUGGCCCGGUACUGACGCUGAGGUGCGAAAGCGUGGGAGCA
rnacentral:rRNA from 1 species